AGAGUGUAGUGUACUCCGAAAAGAAGCCAGUGUGUUUGUGUGUAUGUGUGCGUGUGCACGUUGGGGGUGUAAGUCUAGAGAGGGGCAUAACCCCCUCCCCCCAAUACAGGGCAAAAGUCUUCCCACUGCACGUGCUCUUCACAGAUUCCCAUUCUAGAGUCCAGGUAAAGCAACAAGGUAGUUUUGGGGCCCAUAUCUAGAGUUCCUCCUUCAGAGGAGAGAUUGCUCAGGUCCCUCGCCAACACCUCCCUUCCCUCCAAAUUGGAGGUCCAAUUGAGUUGGGGACAGUGUCUCCAAGGAGAGAAGAAAAUCCUUAUUCCAUGAAUCAGGCAACAUACCCUGCACACUGGCCCUCACUCCCACCUUUGAAAACCUCUUUCUCUGCUUUGGUCCUGGAAAUGCCAAUUCAAGUCUCCAGCUUUAGGGAUCACAAUGGCUGUUGGAUGCUCAGGGCUCCAGGUCGUGCUCAGGGCACUGAUGGCCAAUGAGGAAGUCCUAUGGCUGUGGCUA